GGUUAGGUGUGAAUAGACAGUUGUGAGUUGCGAACUGGAAAACAUAAAAAGUCAGAAAAGCCACGGACCUCAUGCUUGUUCAGGAUUCAACUGAAAACUAAGUUAGAACUUGUUAUCAAAAGGGAAAAAUGGACACUGAUGUGGUAUGGUUUGAGGAUGAACAGUUCAUUCCAUUGGCACUUCGUCAAUAUUCAAGAGCUGAAAGUGACAUGUGCUGCUUGACAGAUAUGAACAUUUCUGCUACACCACUUAACACUAUAACUUGUGAGAAGGGGAAUCAUCAUAGCAAAUUUAAAGACCUGCAAAGCUUUUCACUUGCUGAUUUACCUAGAUCUUACUGGAGUAAUGAUAUCCUUGAUCUUAUAAAGUCUACUGUAGAUCUUGCUAUAAUGGCUCAACUCCCAUAGACAAAUAAAACUGGAUUUUUCUAGCAGGGCACAGAUAAAGUUAACCAAGUUUUUAUCAUCUAGGAAAAUACCCAGUGCAAAUGCCAAAAAUGUUAACUUUCUGACAGUCCUAGAAAGACUUGGGGGAAAGUCAUGAUUGCCACCUCAACAAAUUUGCUAAAAUCUUGCACUUUAGUGACUGAGAUCAAAUGUACUUUUUUUUUUUGACAAUGGUGAGACAAAAGAUGAAGUGAAGUAUUUGUUUGGAGAUGCCUAUCUGAGCAAUUAUAGAGGUGUCUGUAAGUUUUUCUGUUACUCAUGCGAUAUGGAUCUACUGGAAAAGCUGAUUGCUUACCUGAGGUCAACCCAUAUUUCAGACCUGAUCAUGAAACAGCUACAAGGUUUGAUGAUCCUUCAAGAGAAGUCUUCAUCUUUCAUGUCAAAGUUAGGGAUUAAUAGAAAAGACCCUUCGCAGCCAGGGCACACAGCAGCAUCAAAUUCAAUACAUGGUCUUAAUUUGUUCCAUUUCCCCACUGAAACAUGCUUGAUGCUAGCAUGUGGGUGACAAACCAUUACAAGUAAUCUUUCUUCUUCACUUUGACCGUUUCAUAAUUAUUUUCAAAGGCAUCCAUCCAUUUUUCUGUCAAAAGCAUCCAUCCAUUUGUCUGCCUAAGUCUCGGUAGUUCUUUGAGUUUAAGCUUAGGUGAAGGCCACCUUUCUUACUCUAAAAUCUUGUAAGAAUUGUCUAAACAUUUAGCAGCAUCAAAUUCAAUACAUGGUCUUAAUUUGUUCCAUUUCCCCACUGAAACAUGCUUGAUGCUAGCAUGUGGGUGACAAACCAUUACAAGUAAUCUUUCUUCUUCACUUUGACCGUUUCAUAAUUAUUUUCAAAGGCAUUCAUCCAUUUUUCUGUCAAAAGCAUCCAUCCAUUUGUCUGCCUAAGUCUCGGUAGUUCUUUGAGUUUAAGCUUAGGUGAAGGCCACCUUUCUUACUCUAAAAUCUUGUAAGAAUUGUCUAAACAUUUAGCAGCAUCAAAUUCAAUACAUGGUCUUAAUUUGUUCCAUUUCCCCACUGAAACAUGCUUGAUGCUAGCAUGUGGGUGACAAACCAUUACAAGUAAUCUUUCUUCUUCACUUUGACCGUUUCAUAAUUAUUUUCAAAGGCAUCCAUCCAUUUUUCUGUCAAAAGCAUCCAUCCAUUUGUCUGCCUAAGUCUCGGUAGUUCUUUGAGUUUAAGCUUAGGUGAAGGCCACCUUUCUUACUCUAAAAUCUUGUAAGAAUUGUCUAAUCAUUUAGCAGCAUCAAAUUCAAUACAUGGUCUUAAUUUGUUCCAUUUCCCCACUGAAACAUGCUUGAUGCUAGCAUGUGGGUGACAAACCAUUACAAGUAAUCUUUCUUCUUCACUUUGACCGUUUCAUAAUUAUUUUCAAAGGCAUCCAUCCAUUUUUCUGUCAAAAGCAUCCAUCCAUUUGUCUGCCUAAGUCUCGGUAGUUCUUUGAGUUUAAGCUUAUGUGAAGGCCACCUUUCUUACUCUAAAAUCUUGUAAGAAUUGUCUAAACAUUUAGCAGCAUCAAAUUCAAUACAUGGUCUUAAUUUGUUCCAUUUCCCCACUGAAACAUGCUUGAUGCUAGCAUGUGGGUGACAAACCAUUACAAGUAAUCUUUCUUCUUCACUUUGACCGUUUCAUAAUUAUUUUCAAAGGCAUCCAUCCAUUUGUCUGCCUAAGUCUCGGUAGUUCUUUGAGUUUAAGCUUAGGUGAAGGCCAUCUUUCUUACUCUCACAUUUUUUAAGAGUUGUCUAAACAUUUUGCUUAUGCAAAUAUGAUUGAUCUUGUUUUCAGUCCUAAUGUCUGCUGAUCUCCAAAGUGAUACUUUGGUGGUAAAAUAAACUGCCUUGUAUAAUCAAGUUGUUGAGAACACAUACGUAUAGGAAUCUCUCUCCUUUUUGUUUAAUUCUUCAAGAGCUUAGGUGCCCAUGAUCUCCUCCUAUCCAGAGUUAUCACCUCCUGUAUUUGCAUUUAGGUCUUCCAUUAGGACAGUAAUAUCUAUGUUUGGUUAUGUAGCAAGGAUCAUUUGCAACCUACAGUAAAAUGAUUUUUUUCCCUUUCACCUCACCAUC